rnacentral:rRNA from 1 species
UACGUAGGGGGCAAGCGUUGUCCGGAAUCAUUGGGCGUAAAGCGCGCGUAGGCGGCCCGGUAAGUCCGCUGUAAAAGUCCAGGGCUCAACCCUGGAAAGCCGGUGGAUACUGUCGGGCUAGAGUCCGGAAGAGGCGAGUGGAAUUCCUAGUGUAGAGGUGAAAUUCGUAGAUAUUAGGAAGAACACCGGUGGCGAAGGCGGCCCACUGGUCCGGUACUGACGCUGAGGUGCGAAAGCGUGGGGAGCAAACAGG